AUUGAACGCUGGCGGCAGGCCUAACACAUGCAAGUCGAGCGGAUGAAGGGAGCUUGCUCCUGGAUUCAGCGGCGGACGGGUGAGUAAUGCCUAGGAAUCUGCCUGGUAGUGGGGGAUAACGUCCGGAAACGGGCGCUAAUACCGCAUACGUCCUGAGGGAGAAAGUGGGGGAUCUUCGGACCUCACGCUAUCAGAUGAGCCUAGGUCGGAUUAGCUAGUUGGUGGGGUAAAGGCCUACCAAGGCGACGAUCCGUAACUGGUCUGAGAGGAUGAUCAGUCACACUGGAACUGAGACACGGUCCAGACUACUAAGGGAGGCAGCAGUGGGGAAUAUUGGACUAUGGGCGAAAGCCUGAUCCAGCCAUGCCGCGUGUGUGAAGAAGGGCUUCGGAUUGUAAAGCACUUUAAGUUGGGAGGAAGGGCAGUAAGUUAAUACCUUGCUGUUUUGACGUUACCAACAGAAUAAGCACCGGCUAACUUCGUG
rnacentral:rRNA from 1 species